rnacentral:rRNA from 1 species
ACAGAGGCCUCGAGCGUUAGGCGGAAUCACUGGGCUUAAAGCGUGUGUAGGCGGACUUCUAAGUACCUUGUGAAAUCCCACGGCUCACCCGUGGAACUGCUUGGUAUACUGGUUGUCUUGAGCCUUCUAGGGGCGAGUGGAACAAAUGGUGGAGCGGUGAAAUGCGUAGAUAUCAUUUGGAACGCCAAUGGUGAAAACAACUCGCUGGGGAAGUGCUGACGCUGAGACACGAAAGCCAGGGGAGCGAACGGGA